rnacentral:rRNA from 1 species
UACGUAGGGUGCAAGCGUUAAUCGGAAUUACUGGGCGUAAAGCGUGCGCAGGCGGUCUGUUAAGUCAGCUGUGAAAUCCCCGGGCUCAACCUGGGAAUGGCGAUGAAGACUGCAAGGCUAGAAUCUGGCAGAGGGGGGUAGAAUUCCACGUGUAGCAGUGAAAUGCGUAGAGAUGUGGAGGAACACCGAUGGCGAAGGCAGCCCCCUGGGUCAAGAUUGACGCUCAUGCACGAAAGCGUGGGGAGCAAACAGG